rnacentral:SRP_RNA from 1 species
GCCGUGUAAUCCUACCUACUGUGAAGGCUAAGGCUUGCAGAUAUCCUGAGCUCAGGAAUUCUUAGCUGCAAUGGCCUAUGCCAAUCAGGUGUCUGCACCAAGUUCAGCAUUAAUGUGGUUAGCCCCUAAGAUUGAAGGCCCAUCAAGUUGUCUGAGGUGGGAUGAACUGGCCCAGGUCAGAAAUAAGUGGGUCAGAGAUUCCAUGCCAGUCAGUAGUGGGAUCAGUUUUAUGAAAACCCCUGUAUUUUCUGCCUGGAGGAAAUAGAGAGACCCAUUCUUA